AGAGUUUGAUCCUGGCUCAGGAUGAACGCUAGCGGCAGGCUUAAUACAUGCAAGUCGAGGGGCAGCACGAAUAGCAAUAUUUGGUGGCGACCGGCGCACGGGUGCGUAACACGUAUACAAUCUACCUUCAACAGGGGGAUAGCCUUUCGAAAGAGAGAUUAAUACCCCGUAAUAUAUGAGAUGGCAUCAUUUUAUAUUGAAAGUUCCGACGGUUGAAGAUGAGUAUGCGUCUGAUUAGCUAGUAGGUGAGGUAACGGCUCACCUAGGCUACGAUCAGUAGGGGAUCUGAGAGGACUAACCCCCACACUGGUACUGAGACACGGACCAGACUCCUACGGGAGGCAGCAGUAGGAAUAUUGGUCAAUGGAGGCAACUCUGAACCAGCCAUGCCGCGUGCAGGAUGAAGGCCCUAUGGGUCGUAAACUGCUUUUAUACCAGAGAAAACCCUUCCACGUGUGGAAGGUUGAUAGUAUGGUAAGAAUAAGCAUCGGCUAACUUCGUGCCAGCAGCCGCGGUAAGACGAAGGAUGCAAGCGUUAUCCGGAUUCAUUGGGUUUAAAGGGUGCGUAGGCGGACUUGUAAGUCAGUGGUGAAAUCUCUCAGCUUAACUGAGAAACUGCCAUUGAUACUGCAGGUCUAGAGUAUAGAUGACGUUGGCGGAAUAUGACAUGUAGUGGUGAAAUACUUAGAUAUGUCAUAGAACACCGAUUGCGAAGGCAGCUAACGAAACUAUAACUGACGCUGAGGCACGAAAGUGCGGGGAUCAAACAGGAUUAGAUACCCUGGUAGUCCGCACCGUAA
rnacentral:rRNA from 1 species